ACUCUAUUCCCCAAACCCACCCACCUCCUCCCCUUUCUCGCGAAGAGAACGACGCACGCAGGCGUCGCCGUCGGCGAGCGGCGGCGGCGGACGGUGGACGGCGCGUGCGUAGCGAGCAGGGUGCGUGAGGACGGAGCUAAGCUAGCUGCUGACUAGAAGGUGAUGCAACCACUCGAGCACAGAGAAUAUUGAGUGGAUUCCUCCCUCCUCGCCCUCUGCUCGACGGGCGGUGCGUUUCUCUGUCGCUCCCAUCCCCAGCCUCCACCUCCGCCUUGCUUCUCCUGAAAUCCGGCCGUCCAGAUCUCUGCCGCCGCAGCACCGCUCCACUCCGAGCUCCGGCGAACAGCCGGCAAAUCCUAAACCCUAGACAGUGAGGGGUUGGAGCGGCGCCCGCCGCGGCGGACCGGACUGGCGGAGGGCGGGCGAUUCGCGCGACGGCCGGCGUGUGCGGCGGCGACUGCGGGUCUGCGGCGCGGCGGCGGGCGCGGCUUGGCGUUGGCGGCCGGGUGGCCGGGGUUAGUAAAGGAAGAGGAAGAAGCUGAGCGCCAGAUACCAGGCCGCCCACAAGGACCCACUGCUGGACUUCAACGACUGGAGGAAGAAAGGAGGCGUGCCCGAGGUGAAGCGGUUUGCAGAAGCAUAACAGCAGUCUAGCUUGACAACAAUGUCAGUCCUUCGCUCCAUUCUCCCGACAGUAGCAAGAAACAAUGGUUGGAGAUGCUUUGCUACUGGGUUUCCUUCCGAUACUAUAGCAGAGCUCAAUAAGGAAAUGGAAUCUGUGUUUGGUGAAUCUCCUUCACCCAGUCCUUUAGGUUCAACUCCUCAGCAACCAGCAAGGCCCACUAAUGGAUCAGGGGAUGGACAACCAAUGCUUACCCAUACUGAUAGCAGUGGCCAGGCAAAGAUGGUUGAUGUCUCAUCCAAGCAUGACAGCACAAGAGUUGCUAUAGCCACAUGCAGGGUCUUGCUAGGCCAGGAGGCAUUUGAUUUGGUAGCAUCAAACAAGAUUGCCAAAGGAGAUGUUCUAACUGUUGCAAAGAUUGCUGGAAUAACUGGUGCAAAGCAAACCAGCAACCUCAUACCGCUGUGCCACAACCUUAAUCUAUCCCAUGUUCGUGUUGAUCUUACUCUUAACGAAGAAGAUUCUAGUGUUAUGAUAGAAGGAGAAGCUUCAACCAGUGGCAAGACAGGGGUUGAGAUGGAAGCAAUGACAGCAGUUGCCAUUGCUGGUCUCACAGUCUAUGACAUGUGCAAAGCUGCUUCAAAGAACAUAUGCAUAACAGAUAUCUGUCUCCAGCACAAAUCUGGUGGAAAGAGUGGAAGCUGGUCCAGAAGUUAGACAUUUAUGUGAAUCACAAGAAUGAAUUGGGGAAAACAUUUUUAUCUUGAUGUGCUUAAACAUGACGAUUUUUAAACCUAUUGGCCGGACAUGCUAGAGGUUUUGCACUAGUUGGCUGCUCAUCUCCUGUAAUCUGGCCACCGUAGCCAUUGACUCGAUUUGGAGCCGACAAUAUAUAGAACAUCUGACAUUCCAAUUCUUUAUUAUCUUCCCAACAGAUCGGCUAUUGAAAAUGUAUCCUUUUUCUCUGAUGAUGGCAUCAGAAGAGGUCAAUUUCUGCGCGGCGUCGUUCCAACCACUCAGAAAUAGUUCUUUUGGCCAGCGAGAGUAAGCAGCUAUAAGCAUAUGAGAUAUGCAACAAGCACAUUUUUGGUCAAUGAUCCCUGGUCACCUGGUGUCUGCUUCCCUAACAGAUCUUGUGGAUCUUGAUUUGACCAGCAUUUCAGGAUAGUGAGUACAAUUUUCUCUCGUAUUUAUUAAUAUUUCAGCAUUAUGAGUCAUAUAUGAACAACAUAUAUUUCUGACUUCUUAUGCAUGAACAUUAUGCUGUCUGUCUGCAAA